GGGAAUCUGCCCUUAGGUUCGGAAUAACAGUUGGAAACGACUGCUAAUACCGGAUGAUGACGUAAGUCCAAAGAUUUAUCGCCUGAGGAUGAGCCCGCGUAGGAUUAGCUAGUUGGUGUGGUAAGAGCGCACCAAGGCGACGAUCCUUAGCUGGUCUGAGAGGAUGAUCAGCCACACUGGGACUGAGACACGGCCCAGACUCCUACGGGAGGCAGCAGUGGGGAAUAUUGGACAAUGGGCGAAAGCCUGAUCCAGCAAUGCCGCGUGAGUGAUGAAGGCCUUAGGGUUGUAAAGCUCUUUUACCCGGGAUGAUAAUGACAGUACCGGGAGAAUAAGCUCCGGCUAACUCCGUGCCAGCAGCCGCGGUAAUACGGAGGGAGCUAGCGUUGUUCGGAAUUACUGGGCGUAAAGCGCACGUAGGCGGCUUUGUAAGUUAGAGGUGAAAGCCUGGGGCUCAACUCCAGAAUUGCCUUUAAGACUGCAUCGCUUGAAUCCAGGAGAGGUGAGUGGAAUUCCGAGU
rnacentral:rRNA from 1 species